rnacentral:rRNA from 1 species
GGUCCCGCCUGCCCUGUGACUAUAUGUUUAACGGCCGCGGUAUUUUGACCGUGCGAAGGUAGCGCAAUCACUUGUCUUUUAAAUGGAGACCUGUAUGAAUGGCAUAACGAGGGCUUAACUGUCUCCUUUCUCUAGUCAAUGAAAUUGAUCUCCCCGUGCAGAAGCGGGGAUGCUCCCAUAAGACGAGAAGACCCUAUGGAGCUUUAGACAUAAAGCAGAUCAUGUUAAAAAUCCUCCCACAAGAGAAAAAACAGAACGAGCCCUGCUAGAAUGUCUUUGGUUGGGGCGACCGCGGAGGAAAACAAAGCCUCCAUGUGGACUGGGGCCCAACAAGCCCCAUAACUAAGAGCUUCCGCUCUAAGUAUCAGAAACCUUUGACCUAUCAGAUCCGGCCAUACCGAUCAACGAACCGAGUUACCCUAGGGAUAACAGCGCAAUCCCCUUCUAGAGUCCCUAUCGCCAAGGGGGUUUACGACCUCGAUGUUGGAUCAGGACAUCCUAAUGGUGCAGCCGCUAUUAAGGGUUCGUUUGUUCAACGAUUAAAGUCCUACGUGAUC